rnacentral:rRNA from 1 species
GACGAACGCUGGCGGCGUGCUUAACACAUGCAAGUCGAGCGGUAAGGCCCUUUCGGGGGUACACGAGCGGCGAACGGGUGAGUAACACGUGGGUGACCUGCCUCUAGCUCUGGGAUAAGCCUGGGAAGGCUGGGUCUAAUACCGGAUAUGACCUCGCGGUGCAUGUUGCGGGGUGGAAAGCCUUGUGCGGCUAGGGAUGGGCCCGCGGCCUAUCAGCUUGUUGGUGGGGUGAUGGCCUACCAAGGCGACGACGGGUAGCCGGCCUGAGAGGGCGACCGGCCACACUGGGACUGAGACACGGCCCAGACUCCUACGGGAGGCAGCAGUGGGGAAUCUUGCGCAAUGGGCGAAAGCCUGACGCAGCGACGCCGCGUGAGGGAUGACGGCCU